UGGGGAAUAUUGCACAAUGGGCGCAAGCCUGAUGCAGCAACGCCGCGUGCGGGAUGACGGCCUUCGGGUUGUAAACCGCUUUCAGUUCCGACGAAGCGCAAGUGACGGUAGGAACAGAAGAAGGACCGGCCAACUACGUGCCAGCAGCCGCGGUGAUACGUAGGGUCCGAGCGUUGUCCGGAAUUAUUGGGCGUAAAGGGCUUGUAGGCGGUCUGUUGCGUCGGAAGUGAAAACUCAGGGCUUAACCCUGAGCCUGCUUCCGAUACGGGCGGACUAGAGGAAUGCAGGGGAGAAUGGAAUUCCUGGUGGAGCGGUGGAAUGCGCAGAUAUCAGGAGGAACACCGGUGGCGAAGGCGGUUCUCUGGGCAUUUCCUGACGCUGAGAAGCGAAAGCGUGGGGAGCAAACAGG
rnacentral:rRNA from 1 species